rnacentral:rRNA from 1 species
GAUCCUGGCUUAGGACGAACGCUGGCGGCGUGCCUAAUACAUGCAAGUCGAACGGCUUUUCUAUGGAAGCUUGCUUCCACUGAGAAGAUAGUGGCGAACGGGUGAGUAACACGUGGGUAACCUGCCCAUAAGAGGGGGAUAACAUCCGGAAACGGGUGCUAAUACCGCAUAGUUUUCUUGAUCGCAUGAUCGGGAAGGAAAGACGGCCUUUGUGCUGUCGCUUAUGGAUGGACCCGCGGCGUAUUAGUUAGUUGGUGAGGUAACGGCUCACCAAGACGAUGAUACGUAGCCGACCUGAGAGGGUGAUCGGCCACAUUGGGACUGAGACACGGCCCAAACUCCUACGGGAGGCAGCAGUAGGGAAUCUUCCGCAAUGGACGAAAGUCUGACGGAGCAACGCCGCGUGAGUGAAAGAAGGUUUUCGGAUCGUAAAACUCUGUUGUCAGAGAAGAACAAGUUGGAGAGUAACUGCUCCAGCCUUGACGGUAUCUGACCAGAAAGCCACGGCUAACUACGUGCCAGCCGCCGC